UACGGGGGGAGCAAGCGUUGUUCGGAUUUACUGGGCGUAAAGGGCGCGUAGGCGGUCAGCACAAGUCAGUUGUGAAAUCUCCGGGCUUAACUCGGAAAGGUCAACUGAUACUGUGCGACUAGAGUGCAGAAGGGGCAACUGGAAUUCUCGGUGUAGCGGUGAAAUGCGUAGAUAUCGAGAGGAACACCUGCGGCGAAGGCGGCCACCUGGGCCUAACCUGACGCUGAGGCGCGAAGGCUAGGGGAGCGAACGGG
rnacentral:rRNA from 1 species